CCUUAUACUGUAUUUCAAAUCAUCCUCUUGUUCUCUUGCCCUCCUUUUUACCCCCUACUUUUCUGGUUAUCAACCUCCACUUUGCAGCCUCUUAACCAAACGUUAUCUUUGCUCAUUCCCUCCUCAUAAGCAUACCCUUUGGAAAGUUCUUCAAAAGUGUUGCUUAUACUCAGCUCCAGAGGCAGAAAAAGUGCUUUUUCUUUUUUUCUUUUUUAAACUUCUUAUCUGAGACUCUAUCUCUGUUGCCAUGGCUGUGACACAAUUUAACCCCGCUUGUGCAAAAACUCAUCUUCACUCAUCGCAACUCUCAUUUCUAUCAAGGGGUCUCCCUAGGCACCGCCACUGUGCUUUUGCACCUCUUCAUAGAACUCAACAUGCAAAGAUUUCUUGCUCUGUUGCACCAAAUCAAGUGCAGGUGCCAGCUGUGCAAAUCCAGGAGCCCAAGGGUAAGCCUGAUUGCUAUGGUGUCUUCUGUCUCACCUAUGAUUUGAAGGCUGAAGAAGAAACAAGAUCCUGGAAGAAAUUAAUUAACAUUGCAGUCUCAGGUGCUGCUGGGAUGAUUGCCAAUCAUCUACUUUUCAAGCUUGCAUCUGGUGAAGUUUUUGGUCCAGAUCAACCUAUUGCUCUGAAAUUAUUAGGAUCAGAAAGGUCACUUCAAGCUCUUGAAGGUGUUGCGAUGGAACUAGAGGACUCUUUGUUUCCUUUGUUGAGGGAGGUGAGUAUUGGUAUUGAUCCCUAUGAAGUGUUCCAAGAUGCAGAAUGGGCUUUGCUAAUAGGUGCAAAACCUCGAGGACCUGGAAUGGAGCGUGCAGACUUGUUAGACAUAAAUGGGCAGAUUUAUGCUGGGCAGGGAAAAGCACUGAAUGCUGUAGCAUCCCGCAAUGUCAAAGUUAUAGUUGUGGGAAACCCUUGCAAUACAAAUGCAUUAAUAUGCUUGAAGAAUGCUCCUAACAUUCCUGCUAAAAAUUUUCAUGCUUUAACUCGCUUAGAUGAGAACAGAGCAAAAUGUCAGCUUGCCCUCAAGGCUGGUGUCUUCUAUGAUAAAGUAUCAAAUGUGACGAUAUGGGGCAACCACUCAACUACUCAGGUCCCUGACUUCUUAAAUUCUAGAAUCGAUGGUUUGCCGGUCAAAGAGGUGGUUAAGGAUCAUAAGUGGUUGGAGGAGGAGUUCACUGAAAAGGUUCAAAAGAGAGGUGGUGCGCUUAUACAAAAAUGGGGAAGGUCAUCAGCUGCAUCAACUGCUGUAUCAAUUGUUGAUGCCAUACGAUCUUUAAUCACUCCUACUCCUGAGGGUAUAUAGCAAUGGAAAUCCAUACGGAAUAUCUGAAGGUAUUGUUUUCAGCAUGCCAUGUCGAUCAAAUGGCGAUGGUGAUUAUGAACUUGUAAAGGAUAUUAUAUUUGAUGACUACCUUCGACAGCGAAUAGACAAGACAGAAGCUGAGUUGUUGGCUGAGAAGAGAUGUGUGGCUCACCUAACAGGCGAGGGAAUUGCUGUUUGUGAUCUACCUGGUGAUACCAUGCUCCCAGGAGAAAUGUAACUAGCCCAUCUCCUGAAUGCCGCCAUAGCAGAUAUUGAAAUAAAGUUUAAAUAUGUUUUUAGUCCUUAUUAAUAUGGUUAAAUUUUAUUUUAGUUUUCUAUUUAUUUUUGGUCUUUACAAAUUUUAAAUUUUUUUAAAAUAGUCUCUAUUACCACUUGGUGAUAGAUACAUAUGACAUGACAUAACUAUAUAUAUGACAUGUCAUUAAUAAAUGAUGAUAGAGAUCAUUUUAACAUUUUUAAAAUUUAUGAGGAUUAAAACAAAAUUAAAUUUUAUUAUAUUUACAAGGACUAAAAACAUAUUUUACCCUUGAAAUAAGAUCACGCUAAUUGAUGUAGAAUAAUGGUUGUUAUAAGCAUGCAAAAAUUUUGUUUUUUGCAACAAUAAAAGUUUGAAAACAUUCAUUUGAUUUUAAAACCAUAAUGCUGCUAAAUAAGUUGAUCUAGAUGUUGUAAGAGUAAUAUCAACUUCUGUUGUCUAGAUGAUUGUCCCAUACUACAAACUGAAGGGCCAAUUGAAUCUCUUAGCAUGCUCAACAAUCAUGCACAUCACAUUAUGUAUUUAUUUUAAGAUAAAUAACAGUUUAUUCCUUUGUAAUUUUACAUUUUUCUUAAUUGACUUCUUUAUACUAUUUU